CUAAUAUCAUCCUAUCAAAGGAUAAAACCAAAUCCAUUCUGCAACAAAGUGGAAGUCAUACUGACCCUCAAAGACAAUAGAAAAGUGUGCAUUGAUCCCGAAGGACAAUUCUCCCUUUUUCUUGAGAACCUGAGAAGGAAAUUGUCCCAAACCGGUGCCAAGAAAAAUCCUAGAACAACAACUGAACCAUCUGCAGAAUAUUCACCUGCAUCUGUCAAAACUCUCCAGACAUCACCAACUUUAAUUUCUUCUACUUUAAAACAAU